CCAGUCCACCUGCAUUUCUUAACUAUGAAAAAGUGAAGACAUUGCCACUUACCUCUUUCAUCUAUCCGAGCAAGAACAGCCUGUGAAAUUCGCCUUCCAAAACAUUCAGGCCUCGUAGACAACCUGUGCUGGGCUGGUAGAAAGGUCAUUUGUGGGUAAUCUGUGUUCCCGUGAGCUCUGCAUAGGCUGGAGCUGAAGUGAGCUUCAGAGCAGUACAACACAGACAUCCCUUCUGGCUCUGCCUUACUCUUCAGUUAUUAGGCUGCGGUGUGGAACCUGAAGAGACUAUGCAACCCAAAACUGCCACAGAGAGUUACACAGCCUUUUCUGUGUUCUGUUGCCUCCCAGCAACUAAUUUACAUCACAAUACAUUUGAAUCUGUAUUGCAUGUGUGACAAUCUUAUUAACAUCCUAUUCUCUUGUGUGCUACAGUAUCUUUCCUAUACAUGCUGGAGGAAAUAUUGCUCAUUUGGAUUUUCGAAGAGAAAGACAUUUUAAGGACACUGAAAGAGGUACAAGGCCAUGGCAGCUCACAAAUAGUGCAGGUGCAUGGAUCUAAGGAAGGCUGGCAGGCAGUAAUUCCCACUUUGGAAAACCAGGGAAAAGGCAGCAAUCCAGGGACUGAAGGGACACAUAUAGAAGAGAUUCUGAGGGAAGAAGGAAGAAUGGAGAAUCCACAGUUCAACUCAAUCCUACUCCACAGCCCUCCGGAGAACAUAGAAAUAGCACUGUCACCCUGGGCCACGGAGCCUGACCUCAAAAGGGAGCUGAAAGAAUGAACAUGCUUAAGUUCUUAAGGUGCUGAAAUAAUACAACAUUAAGAUCUAAGUAUGGAGGUCCUUGUUCCUUUCCAUCCUGGGCAGAGGCAUGGACCGUGUAAUUCUUUUAUUAUAAGGCAACAAAAGUUGGAGGAAGUUUUUACCAGCACUGUCUUUGCUUAACGCAGAGCAGCCGCAGCCUCUCUCCCUGCCUCCAGAACACUCUCCUUCAGACACAUCCUGCUGAGACAGUGCACUUUAUCAGUGUUCCCACUACAGAACUACAUCCUCAAGGAAGAAGUGUGCCUUGCUUUAGCUGGAAAAAAGUGUCCGCUUUUUGAUGUGGAAAAGGAGUAAAUUAUAUAAAUCUACAGGAUUUUUUCCCCUCCAUGUUGUGUAAAUAUUCAAAAUACAUUAACUUUCCUAAAUACGGAGAAAAAAGGUUAGGUUAAAGGAAAGAAGACAAUGACGAGGGAAAAAAAAAAAGAUGUUGAAUUUGCAACAUCACUGGUUUUUGUUCAAAAGUGGAAGCUGUCUAUCUGAAAUACAAACAACAAGAAAAAACAGACAAGAUAGGUGUAGGAGUUGCAGAGCUUAAAUUACAUUUAAAAUAAUUCAAAUGUUAUGAAUUAUAAGCCCAUAUUAUGAUCAUUAGAAUGCCUAAACUAACAGGCAUUUACUUUAACCCUAAGGACCUUAACCAGGCUCUUUAGUGAAACAGUAAAAUUCUGAUUACAAUUGGAUUCCAAUUACUGUAUUCGAGAAUAGGUAAAAUAUUUUUCCCAAGUGUCAUUGGAAAGACAAAUAUUAAAAGGUCAGAUAAUAAAUAUUUAAUUUAUUAAUUUUAAAUAUACAUUGUAACAUGUUAUUAACAGAUAGUCUCGAUUUAAGACUAAAAGAAUAAAUGCUGAAAAGUGAAAAAAACAAACAUUUUCUUUACUGCUUUUACUGCAAAAAUAAGUUAAACAUUGUCAAUAAAAUCAUUACCAAAAGUUUCACAAAACAAACUUUUUUUUCAGCAGAUACUUUGGGGAUUUAUACGAAUGUGGCUGAACUGAAUAUUUUGUUGCUUUACGUGUCUGGGGUGCAACAGGAAAGUUCCGAUGUUGUUAACAGUGUUGUGAAAACAAUAAUCAGUAAAAAUUUGACCAAAACUCUGGGGGUUUAUUUUAUUUUUAGGACUGUAAGCAUUUUAGGGCAUGAACCACCUCUUUGUUGGCAUCAUAGUAAGCAUAAUAGUUCUGGUCUGUGACCAAGCCUUCUAGCCAGGGCAAGAAAAAUAACGGAUUAUUUACUUAGUGCAUAGGGAAUGGUCCAGCUAGCUUUUCCUCCUGAAGAGAAGGUCUAGCCUAAGGGAGAAAGAAACUAAUAGUGUUCAAAGAGCUGCCAGAAACCCUUGAGACUGCCCCCCAAACCUCCAACCUAAACGACCUCCCAGGGAGGGGAGAUAGAGGGGAAGAGCAGUGAUGCAGCUUGACACCACUGUUUGCUCUGCAUUUUCUGAAUUUACACUAGUGAGAUUGACACUUCAUAAAAAUGAUAAAGUAUGUUUGGUUUUGCUUCUUCUACCACAACUGAACAUAAACUGGUUUAUAUUAAAUUAUAUUUUUAUUUGCUUCUAUGCUGUUUACUCCCCCCUUCUGACUGAGGAUUUAACAUAAUUUCUGCUCAGAAAAAAUUCAGAUUUUUCCUCCUCACAAAAGCCAUUGGACUCCUUAGGGACUUCAUUUUUUUCAAAUGUGUUUUCAACUGCAUGUUUAAUUUCUGUGUAAAAUUACUGUGAUUGUGUGUGAGGUGCUUAGCUAGCCAUUUAUGGCUGUGCAUAUCUCAUUUUCAUACAUAAUUGCAUGUAAAUUAUGCAUAAGAAUUAUGCAUCUAAUUACAUAUACAUUUUUUAAAAUCAACUCUAUCUGUUGUUAAAUCGCAUGACUUCUUUUUUCACACAUGGCAUUUUUGAUCCAGCUCUCUUAUGCAAUUUCUGAGAAAGAAUAUCAUAACCAGAAGUUUGAUAAGAAAUAGCUUCCUUUUUAUCCCUUAAAUGUAUUAGUACUCUUCAUUUGCCUUGUUAUGCCAGCAGAAUACACACAUCCAAUAAAUGUCUUCUGCAUUUAGCAAAAAUUUCACUUUGUGAUUUAAUUAUUUUCAAAAGCAAUUGACUGUUGUAUAUAGUCACCUGUAUUUUAUUUAAAAACUAAUAUUACUUCCGUUUUCUUCACUAUACAAGGGAAAUUAAUGUCAGUAUGUUUAUUCUGAGUAAGAGAACCUAGCACAGGAGACUCUGAUCUACAAUUUGAGGCCCCUUUGUGCUCCAAUAAAAAUACUGAUGAUAUCAACAAACCAUAUUAAUUUUUCAUUUCAGGAACUGAACCUUCUAUUUCUAUUUUAUAAUGACAAGUAGCUUGUUAAAACAUCAACAAACCCAAAACUCAAUAAACCUCACAGUCUGGAAGCAAUAAAACCUUAAACUGUCUGGGUUAGCAGAGACUUAAUACCUGACUCUCAUUUAGCAACUCACAGAGAUAUUCUAAUGUCUGAAACUGAAUUCAUCUGACAAAGUUACAUAGAUCUCAGUUCUAAAACUGCAGUAUAUUUAAUUUAAAAUAUCACAGGCACAUUGGUAAUGAGCUAUCUGUUCAUAUCUGAGACUUUCAACUAUAAUAUUAUUUGCAACCUUUGUUAAGAAUUUCUGACACUUCCACUAUUAUGUGGAAGGCUUGAGAUUCAGCAAUAAAAACUCUUUUUACUCCUGAAAGAUCCCAUGUACCUUCGGUCAGGAUAAGCUAAUGAAAAAGACACCAUCCUCCUCUCCCUUUUUUCUGAUCCAAGAAGUAGUGCAUGCAAAAAUGAGUAACUCAGCACAAAUAUUGUGAGCCUGGAGCCCACACUGUUACAGAAGCAAAAUAACAGGGAAUAUGCAGGUGUUGCCACAGCAACCUUCAUGGAGGUGUAAGGGAAGGAAAGAAAAUGCCAAAUCAGGGUCCUCACAACAACUCUUCUGAACACAGGGAGUGAGAAUAUGGUGGCUUUUCUUCAUCUUUGGAAGCACCAGCUGAGGAAGGACAAAAAAGCUGUGCCAAGUCAGUCUCUACACACAGUACUUUGGACUGUGAAACCUCCUGACAUCUUUCACUUCUGGAUAACUCUUUUCUGGAUAACACUGAACUUAUCUCAAAUGUCAGGAGACUGUUUUGCCUUGCUAAAAGCUCAAGCUCUUACAAUGAUUCAGAUGGGAGAAAUCUAUGCUUUUAGUUUUCUCUCUUAAAAUUACAUCUGUAAGAAAAUACCCAUAUACUACUAUGUUAAGAUAAAAUUACUGAGGUUGCAUGUCAAAAUGCUAAAGUUAC